AUCUGGGCGGUGAAAUUCAAGAUGGCUGGCGGGCUUCGUGCUCGUCCGGUCGUCUGAUAUUUUCGCUGUCGAAUCAGACGUCGUGACCUGUUCGUUGUCGGCGCCUGUUCGGAGGACCCGUGAACGAGUUCGUUGUGGGUGCGUUUCGGCGUGCCACACGGUGAAGUCGCGGGAGUCCGGCUGACGAUGGACAGUAAGCAACGGUGUCCGAUGCCAUGUCUCGCACUUGGUGUCGGGGCCGGUCAGCGACGAUUUCUUCGGGCCUCUUUCCGACCCGUCUUGAAACACGGACCAAGGAGUCUAACAUGCGCGCGAGUCGCGGGGUAUCGAGCGUACCACGGUACGCUCGUUAUAUCACGAAACUCGUAUAUUGAAGGCGAAAUGAAAGUGAAUGGGGAAGAUGGUGUUCCGAGUUGACGAAUCGUGAUCGAGUAUCGCGACCGGACGCCCGCAUUCCCGGGGCGUCUUAAUGGCUCGUCACGGACGCAGACGAUCGCCCUUCGGAGUGGCCGUCGGUUUGUGACGAACCGA
rnacentral:rRNA from 1 species